UUCCUCCCUUUCCCUUCCCCUCUCUUCUUUCCUUCGCCCAACGUCUGCUCCAAGCGCCGCCGCCGCCGCCGCUCAAGCCUUCCGGCGCCACCGCCACUCUCCCGUCCUUCCUCCCCUGCUCGUUGUUCCGGAAACCCUCGCCGCCCUUGUGCCGCACCACGUGCCCGACCCCGAGCCGCCCCCUCCCUUUCCUCUAUCUCCCUCCCCGGACCUCGGCCGCCGCCACGGCUGCCCCCCGUCUUCCAUUCGUCCUCCCUCCCUCCUCCCGCUUUCCAUCUCCCCACUGUUCAACCCCUGCGAACGUCCUCGCUGCCUAUGAUUCCUCACGACCCAGCCCUGUCGAACCCUAGACGCCGGCAUACACGCAUUCCACCAGCAGUGGCCACUUGCGUCGGCCAGCCCCGGCAUCGACGAUCAUCCCGCGUGCCGACGCACCUCGCACCGCCACCGCCGCUGAUGUCCUCACUAUCUUCAGCAGGGGCCUCCCCAUCGACAUUAAUGAGUGGGAGCUGCACAACCUGCUGCUGGUUCCCGACCUCUUGGGAUUCGAGGCCUCUUCGCCUCCGUGCACCAGGCCAUCGCCGCCAAGGAUUUGGGUGUUCGAUGCUGAGAGCAAGCAGUACUGCAAACCAACAUGGCCUAGAAGACCAUCUUCGUUAAGAGAGGUGGGGUUCGUCUACCAAAAUUGUGCACACGUUAUCACAUAGUAGUUCUACAUUAUUUAAGGGAAGUUUGGACCUAACAGAUUAGUGUUGAAAUGUUGAGCUUCUAUUUGGUCCAAAAUUCUAUUGGUAGAUACUUGUGAUGUGGGUAAAUUGAGGCUGAUAAAUAAAGUUUGCAGGCUUUAGUGAACAUUGUUGGCCAUCAAUGGAUGAUGUGGUGGGUGUGAGAGUAAGUGUGGGCUAUAGUUUAGGCAUAAAACAAUUUGUGGAAGUUAAUACUUCUUCUUUAGUGACACAUCAAACUUGAUAGGAAACCCCGCUGUUGAGGUCACACAGGGUCUGUAUCCUGGAUCUACUACUUGAGGAAGGCUUUUUCAUUUUUUUUGUUAAAUAUACUGGUCUAACAAACUUUCCACGCCUUGAUAACUGUUGGAAUUUUAGUGUGGGCACUGAUGUUCCUGUUCUUUUGUUAAGCUUCUACGGAUAGAAAGGUUUGAACUAUACUUGACAACCUUGGCAUUGAAGUUUUUUUUCCUGCUACCUGUCAUAUGGCAGGCCUCAACUUCUCUUUUCAGACAUGGAAACAAACUGACAUUUGUCCCACGUACCAUGUUCAUAGGCAGGACUCUACUUGUCUAUGCAAUGGAUAAUCCAGAUGAAAGAUAAAUAGAUUGCCAUAAUUUCAGAGAAGUUGAGUUCUCAUCUUGUUUUAUUUAAUUCGGUAGAAAAGGAAGUUCCAGCAGUGAAACAAGUACUAGGUGAUGUGCAUUGUCUGGUUGGUGAGAAGGAAAGUGUAGAUACAAUUAUGAUCACACCUGGCACUUGCAUUCUCCCAUCAUCUGGCAACUUCAUUUUGAUUAUUACAUUUCCAUGCUUCUCUGAUGUGUAUUCUUUAUGCAUUAUUGUCCCUUUCACUGUUAUUUCAGUUUGUGACUUGAAGGAUAAGGUCCAAAGGGUUACUGUGAUUCAGGAAGAUUUUGUAGGUGUGUCAGCUUCUUGUAGUCUUGCAUGAUCAGUUUGUGAUUUUCAUAUGUAUUAGUGGAUCAUUUUCAUCUUCUAUUUUUCACUAACUCUCAUGGUUUAUUUAUGCAGAGAAACUUAAUUUCUUGGAAAGUAAAAUCAGUGCUUACCGGUUUGAACUCCGAAAUAUGGCAAGGAUCAUAUAUGAGUUGAAAGAUCGCCUUGAGGCUGAGAAACGUAACAACUGUUUUAUUCCCCAACUGGAUGAAAUAUCCGUUAACUAAGUUAAAAUAAAUUGCAUAUAUUUGAUCUCCAGUUUCUAUCAAAAUCAUGACAUUUGUUGUCUUGUGCCUUAAUGAUGUUACCUGAAGUCUGAAGAAAGCUUUGUUGUUGAAGGGUGAAAUUAUUGAGAGAUUAACUUCAGAAAAGCAAUGUAUGGGGCUUCACAGCAUCGAGGUUGCUUUACAGAAAUUUCAAGAUUUAUGAAGUAGCAAUGGGCAUGAGGUACGGUGCAGAUGUUAGAUUAAAAACUUGAUUACAAUUUUUGUUGUUCAUAUAUCAGUAUGUUUUUAUUUCUUCGAUGCACAUCAUGCCCAUAGCUAAUGUUGUUUGUUCUCAAUCUCCUGAUCGCACUCAAGGGAACUAUUUUGGAAGUCAGAGUGUACAUAGUGUGAAUAAUGAGCAACCUUAGUUUCAUUAAACAUUCAGCCCUCGUGGUAAUAAAUUUAAUUUUUUUUGUUAUGUAACAUUCAGUAUAUGCUACUUGGUGAGGCCAUUAGCAUUCCAGGCACACAAUCUGGUCUAGCCAACAGAUUCUGUGAAUCCAGAUCCUGACUCGGAGAACCAGUCCAGACCCUACAAUUUGGAUCCCUUCGCAGCAUGAGUUGGAUGCACAUUCUAGCAGCCAAUAGUCGUAGCACAUUUGUCCUGUACUCAUAGUUGAUCAUCCUUAUUUUUGUGAGCUGAUCAUCCCGUGUUUGUAUAGACCGUUUAGGUAGCCACUAAAGAGAUAUGCCAUGUAAUUUGAGAUGCUUUGUACACGUUUUGGAUUCUGUUAGCUUGCUGUGUUAAGUGUUAAUGAACAUCAAUCAUUUUAAUGAAAAUUUUACAUAAUUGGUCAGAA